rnacentral:rRNA from 1 species
GACGGGACCCGCACAAGCGUGGAUGAUGUGGUUUAAUUCGAUGCAACGCGAAAAACCUUACCCACCUUUGACAUGUACGGAAUCCUUUAGAGAUAGAGGAGUGCUCGAAAGAGAGCCGUAACACAGGUGCUGCAUGGCUGUCGUCAGCUCGUGUCGUGAGAUGUUGGGUUAAGUCCCGCAACGAGCGCAACCCUUGCCAUUAGUUGCUACGAAAGGGCACUCUAAUGGGGCUGCCGGUGACAAACCGGAGGAAGGUGGGGAUGACGUCAAGUCCUCAUGGCCCUUAUAGGUGGGGCUACACACGUCAUACAAUGGCUGGUACAGAGGGUUGCCAACCCGCGAGGGGGAGCCAAUCCCAUAAAGCCAGUCGUAGUCCGGAUCGCAGUCUGCAACUCGACUGCGUGAAGUCGGAAUCGCUAGUAAUCGCGGAUCAGAAUGUCGCGGUGAAUACGUUCCCGGGUCUU